UUGCUCUUCAACGAGGAAUGCCUAGUAAGCGCGUGUCAUCAGCAUGCGUUGAUUACGUCCCUGCCCUUUGUACACACCGCCCGUCGCUACUACCGAUUGAAUGGCUCAGUGAGGCCUUCGGACUGGCUUGAGGAGGUUGGCAACGACCACCUUGAGCCGGAAAGUUCGUCAAACUCGGUCAUUUAGAGGAAGUAAAAGUCGUAACAAGGUUUCCGUAGGUGAACCUGCGGAAGGAUCAUUACCUUUCAGUACGGGGCUUAUAGCUUGCUAUAGCCCCUGUCUGCAUCCAUGUCUUUUGCGUACUACUUGUUUCCUCGGCGGGUCUUGCCCGCCGGUUGGACAACUUUAAACUCUUUGUAAUUGCAAUCAGCGUCUGAAAACUAUAAUAGUUACAACUUUCAACAACGGAUCUCUUGGUUCUGGCAUCGAUGAAGAACGCAGCGAAAUGCGAUAAGUAGUGUGAAUUGCAGAAUUCAGUGAAUCAUCGAAUCUUUGAACGCACAUUGCGCCCCUUGGUAUUCCAUGGGGCAUGCCCGUUCGAGCGUCAUUUGUACCCUCAAGCUCUGCUUGGUGUUGGGUGUUUGUCCUAUCCUCUGCGACUGGACUCGCCUUAAAAUUAUUGGCAGCCGGCAUAUUGGCCUUGGAGCGCAGCACAUUUUGCGAGUCAAGCCUUUACACUGGCGUCCAUUAAGCCUUUUUAUCACUUUUGACCUCGGAUCAGGUAGGGAUACCCGCUGAACUUAAGCAUAUCAAUAAGCGGAGGA
rnacentral:rRNA from 1 species